AUGCACGCUGGCGGCGUGCCUAAUCCCUGCAAGUCGCGCGAACAGACGAGGAGCUUGCUCCUCUGACGUUAGCGGCGGACGGGUGAGUAACACGUGGAUAACCUACCUAUAAGACUGGGAUAACUUCGGGAAACCGGAGCUAAUACCGGAUAAUAUAUUGAACCGCAUGGUUCAAUAGUGAAAGACGGUUUUGCUGUCACUUAUAGAUGGAUCCGCGCCGCAUUAGCUAGUUGGUAAGGUAACGGCUUACCAAGGCGACGAUGCGUAGCCGACCUGAGAGGGUGAUCGGCCACACUGGAACUGAGACACGGUCCAGACUCCUACGGGAGGCAGCAGUAGGGAAUCUUCCGCAAUGGGCGAAAGCCUGACGGAGCAACGCCGCGUGAGUGAUGAAGGUCUUCGGAUCGUAAAACUCUGUUAUUAGGGAAGAACAAAUGUGUAAGUAACUAUGCACGUCUUGACGGUACCUAAUCAGAAAGCCACGGCUAACUACGUG
rnacentral:rRNA from 1 species